CUCUAUGCAAAUAGAGAGGCUGACGUCACCCGUCACGUGGUUUCAGCGUCGCUGCCCCGCUGGGAGCCAGGGUUUUUUUUUUUUUUUUUGGUUUUUUUCCUGCCCCCUCCCCUGCGCCCCUCCCCCGCCUGCGGGCUCCUCCUCCUGCUCCUCCUCCUGCUCCUCCUGCUCCUGCUGCUCCUCCUGCUCCUGCCGCCGCCGGGGUGUUGUUGGGCUGCUCCCGGCUGGGCGGGAGCCCCGCUCCCCUGUGGGAUCCCCCCGUGCGGGGUGGGGGCGGGAGGACUGGCCGGGCCGGGGGCCCCGCAGCGCCCCGCCUGCAGAUGUGACAGGUGGCUGCUUCCAGGGUCCAAUGGUGAAGAGACCUCCAGGAUGUGAGGGGUACGUUCCUGGUGUCACACGGCCGGAUGGCAGGCAGAAACGAGGCUUAGCGUCCCCCAGGCCGACAGGACUUCCGCCUCGAGACCGGCCCGUCCGAGGGAAGGCCGGCCUGUUGAGAAGCCCCCUACUCGCCCCAAGUCACCAC
rnacentral:lncRNA from 1 species